rnacentral:rRNA from 1 species
CAAUAGCGUAUACUAAAGUUGUUGCGAUUAAAAAGCUCGUAGUUGGAUCUCAGGUAUGGGCGCACGGUCCGCCUCGCGGCGGUCACUGUGUGUUUUGUUUCCCAUCCUACGCUUCCCGGUUAUCAGCCCAUGGUGCUCUUCACUGAGCGUUUUGGGUGGCCGGAACGUUUACUUUGAAGAAAUUAGAGUGUUCAAAGCAGGCACGUCGCCUGAAUAAUGGUGCAUGGAAUAAUGGAAUAGGACCUCGGUUCUAUUUUGCUGGUUUUCGGAACACGAGGUAAUGAUUAAGAGGGACAGACGGGGGCAUCCGUAUUGCGGUGUUAGAGGUGAAAUUCUUGGAUCAUCGCAAGACGAACAACUGCGAAAGCAUUUGCCAAGCAUGUUUUCAUUAG